GAUGAACGCUGGCGGCGUGCUUAACACAUGCAAGUCGAACGAAGCAACAGGAAGUUUUCGGACAGAAUGUUGACUGAGUGGCGGACGGGUGAGUAACGCGUGGGUAACCUGCCUUGUACAGGGGGACAACAGUUAGAAAUGACUGCUAAUACCGCAUAACCCGCUAGGGCCGCAUGGCCCAGACGGAAAAGAUUUAUCGGUACAAGAUGGACCCGCGUCUGAUUAGCUAGUUGGUGAGGUAACGGCCCACCAAGGCGACGAUCAGUAGCCGAACUGAGAGGUUGACCGGCCACAUUGGGACUGAGACACGGCCCAAACUCCUACGGGAGGCAGCAGUGGGGGAAUAUUGCACAAUGGGGGAAACCCUGAUGCAGCGACGCCGCGUGAGUGAAGAAGUAUUUCGGUAUGUAAAGCUCUAUCAGCAGGGAAGAAAAUGACGGUACCUGACUAAGAAGCCCCGGCUAACUACGUG
rnacentral:rRNA from 1 species